UUUUGAGCAUGAAUUGGACUAUCACCACGUGGAUAACGUGGCCCAGUAACAGGAGACCUACGGUAGUCACAUAGGAACCUGUGUUAGUUUGUCUCUGAGACUCUACGCAUAGCCUCGUUUGAAGAUUAUGGUCGGAAGUCUAAAUCUGAAGCUCUUUGUGAAAAUGAAGUUUGAGCCAAAGGCACUCCUGCCAGAUACUGAAUCUGCUGAUCCCAUGAUCUUGGACUUACUGGCUUUCAGGCUGUAAGAAACAAAUAUUUGUUGCU